rnacentral:rRNA from 1 species
UACGUAGGGCGCAAGCGUUGUCCGGAUUUAUUGGGCGUAAAGAGCGUGUAGGCGGCCUGAAAGGUCAGCUGUGAAAACUCGGGGCUCAACCCCGAGACGUCGGUUGAAACCAUCUGGCUAGAGUCCGGAAGAGGAGUGUGGAAUUCCCGGUGUAGCGGUGAAAUGCGCAGAUAUCGGGAAGAACACCCGUGGCGGAGGCGGCACUCUGGGACGGUACUGACGCUGAGACGCGAAAGCGUGGGGAGCGAACAGG